rnacentral:rRNA from 1 species
UGAAUACGAGACGCUAAGGCGUCGAAGUAGUGUAUGUCAUACUUCCAAGAAAAGCUUGCACUGUCAUAGAUAAAAAACGCCUGUACCAUAACCGACACAGGUGGGUAGGUAGAGUAUACUAAGGGGCGCGAGAUAACUCUCUCUAAGGAACUCGCAAAAUAACUCCGUAACUUCGGGAGAAGGAGUGCCUUAUUCGUAAGGUUGCAAUAACAAGAUCCAAGCAACUGUUUAUCAAAAACACAGGUCUCCGCUAAGUCGUAAGACGAUGUAUGGGGGCUGACGCCUGCCCAGUGCCAGAAGGUUAAAGAAGUUGGUUAGCAAUUGCGAAGCUGAUAACUGAAGCCCUGGUGAACGGCGGCCGUAACAAUAACGGUCCUAAGGUAGCGAAAUUCCUUGUCGGGUAAGUUCCGACCCGCACGAAAGGCGUAAUGAUUUGGAUACUGUCUCGGAGAGGGGCUCGGUGAAAUAGACUUGUCUGUGAAGAUGCGGACUACCUGCACCAGGACAGAAAGACCCUAUGAAGCUUUACUGUAACUUGAAAUUGAAAUUGGACUUUAUUCGCGCAGUAUAGGUGGGAGGCGUUGAUUAUAAUCUUGUGGGAUUAUUGGAGCCAUCAGUGAGAUACCACUCUUGUAAUGUUAGAUUUCUAACUUUGAAUCAUUAUCUGGUCAAAGAACAGUUUCAGGCGGGCAGUUUGACUGGGGCGGUCGCCUCCUAAACGGUAACGGAGGCGUACAAAGGUUUCCUCUGAACGGUUAGAAAUCGUAUCUAGAGUGUAAAGGCAUAAGGAAGCUUGACUGUGAGACCUACAAGUCGAGCAGGGACGAAAGUCGGUCUUAGUGAUCUGACGGUACUGAGUGGAAAGGCCGUCACUCAACGGAUAAAAGUUACUCUAGGAUAACAGGCUGAUCUCCCCCAAGAGUUCACAUCGACGGGGAGGUUUGGCACCUCGAUGUCGGCUCAUCGCAUCCUGGGGCGGUAGUACGUCCCAAGGGUUGGGCUGUUCGCCCAUGAAAGCGGUACGCGAGCUGGGUUCAGAACGUCGUGAGACAGUUCGGUCCAUAUCCGGUGUAGGCGUUAGAAUAUUGAGAGGAGCCUUCUUUAGUACGAGAGGACCGAGAAGGACAUACCUCUGGUGUACCAGUUAUCGUGCCAACGGUAAACGCUGGGUAGCUAUGUAUGGAGUGGAUAACCGCUGAAAGCAUCUAAGUGGGAAGCCCACCUCAAGAUAAGUAUUCUCA